rnacentral:rRNA from 1 species
AACGAACGCUGGCGGCAGGCUUAACACAUGCAAGUCGAACGAUGUAGCAAUACAUAGUGGCGCACGGGUGAGUAACGCGUGGGAAUGUACCUUAUAGUGGGGAAUAACGUUGGGAAACUAACGCUAAUACCGCAUACGCCUCGGGAAGGAUUAUCGCUAUAAGAAUCAGCCCGCCGUGAGAUUAGGUAGUUGGUGGGUAAGUGGCCUACCAAGCCUACGAUCUCUAGCUGGUCUGAGAGGAUGAUCAGCCACACUGGAACUGAGACACGGUCCAGACUCCUACGGGAGGCAGCAGUGGGGAAU